rnacentral:lncRNA from 1 species
AGCAACACUAUGACAUCACAAUUGAAGCAGUUAUUCGUGACAUUCUCUUUUGGGUUGAGAAAUUUUCCAAUAUUUCAUUUGCCUUUUGUAAUAGAAAUUGUAAUAAAGUUGCUCAUUUGUUAGCUUACUCUGGAUGUAAUUCAACUACCUUUUAUUCUGAUUUCUUGAAUCCGCCUAUAUGGCUAUCGGACCAAUUGUAUUACGAUUUUCACAAUUAUCAAAUAUAAUUUUAUUUUGACGAAAAAAAAAAAAAAAA